ACCAACAGGGAUUGCCUCAGUAACGGCGAGUGAAGCGGCAACAGCUCAAAUUUGAAAUCUGGAGCCUUCGGCUUCCGAGUUGUAAUUUGAAGAGGAUGUUUCGGUCGUGGCUUGGGCCUAAGUUCCUUGGAACAGGACGUCGUGGAGGGUGAGAAUCCCGUACAUGGCUGCCGGCUUGCGAUCAUGUGAAACUCCUUCGAAGAGUCGAGUUGUUUGGGAAUGCAGCUCAAAAUGGGUGGUAAAUUUCAUCUAAAGCUAAAUAUUGGCGGGAGACCGAUAGCGCACAAGUAGAGUGAUCGAAAGAUGAAAAGCACUUUGAAAAGAGAGUUAAACAGUACGUGAAAUUGUUGAAAGGGAAGCGCUUGCAAUCAGACUCGCUUGCGGUUGAUCAACGUUCCUUCUGGUGCGUGCACUCUGCCGUUGGCGGGCCAGCAUCGGUUGGGGCGGCGGGACAAAGGCGGCAGGAAUGUGGCUCCCCCGGGAGUGUUAUAGCCUGCUGUGUAAUGCCGCCAGCCCCGACCGAGGUCCGCGGUUUUCCUAGGAUGCUGGCUUAAUGGUUGUAAGCGACCCGUCUUGAAACACGGACCAAGGAGUCUAACAUCUAUGCGAGUCUUUGGGUGUCAAACCCAUGGGCGUAAUGAAAGUGAACGGAGGUGGGAGUCCUCGGAUGCACCAUCGACCGAUCCUGAUGUUCUCGGAUGGAUUUGAGUAGGAGCAUAGCUGUUGGGACCCGAAAGAUGGUGAACUAUGCCUGAAUAGGGUGAAGCCAGAGGAAACUCUGGUGGAGGCUCGCAGCGGUUCUGACGUGCAAAUCGAUCGUCAAAUUUGGGUAUAGGGGCGAAAGACUAAUCGAACCAUCUAGUAGCU
rnacentral:rRNA from 1 species